CUGGCUCAGGACGAACGCUGGCGGCGUGCUUAACACAUGCAAGUCGAACGGAGUGCCUUGGAAAGAGACUUCGGUCAAUGGAAGAGGUACUUAGUGGCGGACUGGUGAGUAACGCGUGAGGAACCUGCCUCGGAGAGGGGGGACGAACAGCUGGAAACGGCUGCUAAUACCGCAUGAUACAGUGAAGUCGCAUGGCUUUACUGUCAAAGAUUUAUCGCUCUGAGAUGGCCUCGCGUCUGAUUAGAUAGUAGGCGGGGUAACGGCCCACCUAGUCGACGAUCAGUAGCCGGACUGAGAGGUUGACCGGCCACAUUGGGACUGAGAUACGGCCCAGACUCCUACGGGAGGCAGCAGUGGGGAAUAUUGGGCAAUGGACGCAAGUCUGACCCAGCAACGCCGCGUGAAGGAAGAAGGCGUUUCGGGUUAGUAAACUUCUUUGACAGGGGAAGAGCAGAAGACGGUACCCUGAAAACAAGCCACGGCUAACUACGUGCCAGCCGCAGC
rnacentral:rRNA from 1 species